rnacentral:rRNA from 1 species
AGUGAACGCUGGCGGUAGGCCUAACACAUGCAAGUCGAACGGCAGCACAGUAAGAGCUUGCUCUUACGGGUGGCGAGUGGCAGACGGGUGAGGAAUACAUCGGAAUCUACUUUUUCGUGGGGGAUAACGUAGGGAAACUUACGCUAAUACCGCACACGACCUACGGGUGAAAGCAGGGGAUCUUCGGACCUUGCGCGAUUGAAUGAGCCGAUGUCGGAUUAGCUAGUUGGCGGGGUAAGGGCCCACCAAGGCGACGAUCCGUAGCUGGUCUGAGAGGAUGAUCAGCCACACUGGAACUGAGACACGGUCCAGACUCCUACGGGGGGCAGCAGUGGGGAAUAUUGGACAAUGGGCGCAAGCCUGAUCCAGCCAUACCGCGUGGGUGAAGAAGGCCUUCGGGUUGUAAAGCCCUUUUGUUGGGAAAGAAAAGCAGCAGGUUAAUACCCCGCUGUUCUGACGGUACCCAAAGAAUAAGCACCGGCUAACUUCGUG